CCAUACUGCUCCUCCUGAAUCCGAGUUUCGACUUCCCGACGGACCCUCCUCUCCAGCACCCCUGAAUUGACUUUUACCGGGGAGGCUGAGGAUUACUGUCACUUUAAAUGAAGACAGGUUGUAGUACCAGAAAUGGCCUCUGACUUGCCAUGUGACCACAAAGUCAGGAAGUUAAGUGUCAUGUGACCAGAAAAAGUCAGGAAGUAUAACAAGCAUGGCAGCAGGACUUGUUAUUGUCUCCUCUGUCAAUCUAGUUGAAUCUGCAACCAUCUUAUGCUUUUGAUAGCAUCGUCGUUUUACUCUUUACACGAUGUCAAUAAACCUGUGGACAAUGGAGAGCUGUCUUCAGAGUCGUGAUGUCACUAAAGAGUUAUCUAACUGCCAAGUAGUAUCCAGCGUUCAUAUACCGAGGGCAGUACAGUAAUGCCGAGUAGUAUCCAGCGUUCAUAUACCGAGGGCAGUACAGUAAAAACCUGAAAGGGGACGAACCCGGAAGUGAUACGUCACACCGAGAACAGCGAUAGCAGCGCUCCAUACGGCCGCCAUACAAAGCCCUUCAAACAAUGAUUCAAACAGCGAUAUAAGCGAUAGAUCGAGCGCAAGGGAGGAGAUCCAAGUUUUUGAAGAGUUGGAGGAAGAGGAGGAGGUUGGAAUUUUAUGUUGGACCUAACAUGUAUUAGCCGGAGGCUAAUCAGGAUUCAAACAAUGUGCCCAGACGACCUGACAUGGAAUGUAGACAAGACCCAUCGAGAUUACAAGAUUGGUGUACUUGUGGUAAUUGCCAGCAAAUGCCUACAGCAGUUGAAUGUGUUUGCUGCCAUGAAAUUGAAGAAGUAGUGGCUGUACGUCGACAAGGAGAGGAACACUUCAAUCAGGUGCUUGACUGCAUCACCGACCAUCCUGGACUCAAUGCUGUGUGCCUAGACCCAUAUGGAUUCAAGGUGGCAUGGAUGACCUACAAGCAGCAGUACAAAGGCAAGGCAUUUGAUGGGCCACAGGUUGCCAAGUAUAUGCAUAUUGUCUACAGACAAUUGAUGCGCUGGUGCUGGAAGUUUCUUGGUCCCAGCAUGUGCAGUGUCUUGUAUCAGGGCACAUUUUCCACCACCAGGAGAAGAGGAGUCAGCUGUAUUCAAAGAGUUUUGUGUUUCACAGAGAAAUGUUCCAGAACUGUGAUUUGGACUGGUUUUAGAGUGGUUAAUGUGGACAUGGUGUCUAUUAUAACAAAAUAUUGUAAUAAAAAUAAACAAAUGAGGACAACUGAAUACACGGAAUGUGAUUCUUUAUUUGCUGAGGAAUCUAGUAUGGUCUUCGGCAAUAACAAUUGACUUGUCCGGUCUGUUCACUGCUCCUGUAAGAAAUUAUCUCCACAUAUCACUUAUCUCCCAGACCGCCCCCCCUCUUUGCUUGGCUAUCCGGCCCCUCACAUGGUAUUAGCCGGAAUUACAACUAGCUAACGAUAGCUCCAACAUAUUCAUAGUUAGAGUAGGCGAUUAAUGUAUUUCUUGUUAUUUGUGCUUUUUCUGUCUCUCUCUCCCUCUUUUCUUUUGUUCCCCCAUAACCCCUUCCUGUUCGCCGAUUUCUUCUAAUAAACGAGGGACGUUGAAUGAUCUCAGUGGAUGUAUGUAAUUCUCCUAUGUUAUACAUCAAAACUGUUCAGAUCAUUCGGACAAUCAGAUCCCCAUUCUCUGUGUCAAGCAGCUGAACGGGACAGGUUAAAAAAAAAAAAAAAAACAGUGGUGAUAAAGUAGUACCUGAGGUAUUUGUGAAAAAAAUAAUUUAAUGAUCAGGCUUCAAUUGUCCAUUUAAGGGGGGGGGUUACAAAUUUUGGCUGAGGCAGUAAACAGUCCGAAAUAAUUUGUAUCCCCUUUGUCUAGAAAAAAAAAAAGAUUUUUUUUCAUAAUAACAGUGGUGAUAGAGUGGUAAUUUUCACUGAAGUACUUGUAAAAUAAAUCAUUUGAUGGUCGGGCUUCAUCUGUCCAUUUGAGGAAGAGGGAUACAAAUUCUGUCAGAGCAAUGUCCAGUCUGAAAUAACAGAGGACCCCCCCCCCACACACACACACACACACACACAUUACUUAUGAGUUAGGUCGACUUAAACAAUUAAUUAAAGCCGGAAAAGAACCACAGUUGUAUAUUUUGGAAAUCGAUGUUGAUUAAAUUGGAGAAACUUCAUACAGGGCUUCAAUGACAGUAAUAACAAUUAUAGGUCAUCCUAUGAGUAAAACAGUAAAACAAUGCUUUUUGUUAUGUUCAGUGUGUAUGUUACGUUAUACGGCAGAAAAAAAAAGUUUUUUUGACGGAUGGGCCAUGUUUUAUAACCUUGUAAAUAACUACGUCGCCAAAACACAAAAAUCAAGCAAAUCAGUGCAACACAGUUGCUCCGCCUUCCCUAAAUGCAUGCGCGCUCCCGCGGUGAACGGAUAGAAUUUUUGACGGGGGUUACUACAUUGGCAGGACACCGUCACUGCUAUGUGUGGGGUGGGCGGGUGUGUAAAUAUUCUUGCGUGCGGAAGCAUAACCCACUCUAAGCUUCCUGCGCCAAAAUAAAAGCACGUAUCACAAAACAAAAGUCAACAUUAAAAAAAAAAAAAAAAAACAGACACAGGCGUCGUAGAAGUCGAAAUCACGUAAAUCGGGUCCGUCAUAACCCGGGAAUACCUGUAUACUUUAUGCACAAAAGAAGGAUAUACCAAUUACAUAGAUAGUAUAAGCAGAUAGUUGCUUCCUGGUCACAUCUGCAGCCAGCUCCCGCCUUUUUAUCCCUUGUUGGCUCAAAUAUGUGUGUACAAUCCAUAAUUUAACCCUCACAAGAAUAGUAUAUUGCCUGUUAAAGUGUGAGUCUUUGUUGCUGAGGCUUAUGAAAGUUAUUUUGCGCGCGAGGCAGAUGGCAGGGACAGAUUUUCCCUCCUCAAACAACAUCCAUUCGACAUCCUAUUCCUUACCACUGCUUAAAUUAUGAGGUAAGAAUGGAAGCAUAAUGACUGUUGUCAGUUAAAUCCACUGCAGAGAUUAACAAUUGAGUGCAGCGUAAAUAUAUUAAGAAAGUGGGGCACAGAAAGGUUCACUGCUCCAAUUAUGAAUAGCCAGCGGCACAGUGAUGCUUUAACGUAAAGAGACAAGCAGACACCAGUACAUGCUCACAGGGGGUCAAAGAUUAAACUUUCUCAAUGCCAGUAACCCCUACAAAAUAAUCUUUGUUGCCAAGACCUAAUAUCUGAAGGGACAUUUAUGACACUCCAUCUGCUUCCAUGUGUCCCUUCGCGUCCCCAUUCUAAUUUGGAAAUAGCUUCAAUGAGAGACAAGGGCGUAGGUUUGCAUAAGGGCGUUAGGGACUACCAACUUUUCAGUAUGCUCAAAAUGCCCCCACCAAUUUUUAAGCAACGUUAUUUGCAUUUCUAAUGAGUUAAGUUUGAUUGGUAAUUUUAGAUUGUCUUCCCAUUUAUUGUAAGCUUAGAAUUGACCCUAGCAUUACUUAGUGAAUUAUUUUCAUUAUGUGAAUGUGCUGGUCCAAUUUUUCCCCCUUCAAACGCACGUUUAAUUGGCUGAUUGCUUGACCCCCGGCAACCCGCCCCCCCCCCCCCCCACACACACACAGCCCCGACAGAAAUCAAACAUGUCGACAAGAGGAGGGAUAUUAGAAUUUUUUUUUUCGGCCAGCAGCAGCAGUCACUGUAAUUAAUGUAAAAAGACAUCUAUGUUGUGGAGGUGGGAAACACACCACUAAGGCCAUGACUACAUGUAGCAGGGUAUCUCGCGAAAAGAAAAACCUUAACUUACCUUCAUUACGGUUUGACCUAUCAUCCAGACGCACACGCACAUUUUGGGCAUUAAAAAAGAUGUUUUUUUAAAAAAUUUUAAUGAAGAUUUGCGAAAUCUGUGUUUGAUGCGUCGUCAUGUGAAUAUUACUAAACGGAGUUUUGUAUUUUUUUAACAGUCGAAACGUCACUGCCUGCGAUUUAAAAUGUUCAAACGUCGUAUAUGCGACCCGUGUUUACAUUUAGAGACUGUGCUUAUGCUCACAGAGGAUUUGGAAUUUUACAACAUCACAUCUGCAUUGCGAAUUGAUUAAAGACAAAUACAAUGCACAUAUAUAAACACAUAAGCAGACGUGUGCGGUAGCAACCUGUGCUAAUGAUUCAUGAAGAUCUCAGAAGGCAAGGGCUAAACGAACAAAAUACGAUCGGCGAAGUAUUUAUUUAUUUAUUUAUUUUAAUAUGACAGAACAUUUGCCCAGUACCAACAUUUAGGUGAUUAGUUGAUUUUUUUCUUUUUUAUCCCAGAUAAUUGCUUUAGAGGUUGUUUUAAUUACCUGACAUGUUUUGGCGAACACUUCCCCAUUCAUCAGAGUCACUGUUGUUGGUGUGACGCGUCUUUAUCAGCUGAUGGAUGAAGGCAUGACUUGCCUGUCAGAUUGACAGGCGAGUCACGCCCUCUGCUGACUAUUCACUCUUCCAGGAUGCUGGGCUAGGUAGUAGAGAGCAUGUAAGUCCCUGUUGAUGGUCCUCGGGCCCUGCUUGCGGAUCUCAAUGGCCUCCCUGAUCCAGCGCUGAUGUUUUUUUUUUUUCUUCGGUGCGGAUGACUCUAGCCUUUUCCCAGUCCAUAGUUGUGUGGUUUUCCCUUUUUCAGUGAUCGGUGAUGGCUCCUGUUGUGCUUGUUCUUUUAUUGACCUUAUUUGUCUUAUUGUUGUUGUCUCCUUCUCACACUCCUUCUUGUGUUCUGUUUCUCUUGUAAUAAAACUCGUCCCUGUCUCCCCGAUAUAUGAUUUAUUGCAUGAUUUGCAUGGAAUUUCAUAUAUGGAGUAACAUUUGUUUUCUGGGUGGAUUUUGUCCUUUGGAUGGACCAAUAUCUGGCGGAGUGUUGUGUGUAGUUUGACCGAUGUGUUUAUGUUGUAUUUUUCAUGACUCCUUGAAUACGUUCCGUGACUCCUCUCACAUACGGCAACGUCACCACUUCUCUGUGUUCUUGUUUUCUUUCCCCCGUGUUGUGUUUUUCUUUUUUUUAACCUGUCCAACACCUUUUUAUAUUGCCCACUGUGAAUAUUGACACAUUUUUAGUGCAUGUUGUUUUUUUCCUCCUGUGUUCUGUCAUCCGUGAUUAUUGUCAUACGUUCAUGUAAUGUUCUGACUACUGACAGUUUGUGGAUAGUGGGGUGUUCAGAUGUCAAUAAGAGGUAUUGGUCGAUGUGUGUGGGUUUCCUGUGUACUUUUAUUUUGGUGUCCCCGUUGUCUGUGUGAUGUACGUUUAUGUCCAGAAAAGGACUGAUCUGUUUCCCUUUCAUAGGUGAAUUCAAUGCUGCCGGUGGUGUCUAUGGUUUUGAGGUGGUCCGUGAGUCGUUCUGUAUGUCCUGUUUUUUUUACUUUUUACUGACAGGUGAGUCAUGCCUUCAUCCAUUGGCUGAUAAAGACGCGUCACACCAACAUCAAUGACUCCCUGAUGAAGGCGAAAGUGCUCGCCAAAACAUGUCAGAUAUUUCAACAACUUAAAACAAUUGUCUGGGAUAAAAGAAAAAUUCAACUAAUCUAUAAGUUUAAACAAAAUGAACUCAACAUUUACAACAUUUAAGUGAGUGUUACGGACACUUCAAUACCGACGCAGAUUUGAAAUUGAAUAUUAAAAUGAAUACACAGUUUGAGUGUAUGAGUGGGUAAAAUAAUUGACGUCUAUGGUUCUAAUAUUGACUUUGUCAAUAAUAACACACAGCAGUUAUUCAGGAGAAGAAAGAAAUACAAAAACAUAAAUGAUAAAAAAAAAAAAAGGGCAAAUAUAUUUGUAUAGCACAAUUCAACGCAAGGCUAUUCAAAGUGCUUUACAUCACAUGAGAAUCCACGGGCAGAGAUGAAAUGAUUCGUAAAAAUCACAUUAAAUCAAAAGAAAGUUAAAACAAAGACAACUGAAAAAGGGAAUAAAAUUAUAAAUAAAAAUCACAUUAAAACAUGAAUAGUUAAACUAAUAAUAGUUGAAAUCAGAAAUGGGAAUAAAAGUAAAAAAAAAAGUAUAAAAAGCAAUUAGCUUGAAAUUUGAAAUAUAUAGAUAAACAAAAGUGUUUUUAGCCCUGAUUUAAAGGAGGUAACAGUUUGAGCACACUUCCGAUUUUGAGGUAACUUGUUCCAGAGGUGAGGAGCAUAAUACCUGAAUGCUGCCUCACCCUGCUUGGUUCUUGUUCUUGGAACAUACAGGCAGGGGUGCUGCCAGGGAUUUUUGGCCCCAUGAAAAGAUAUCAAUUUGGGCCCCACCAAAAGUGCCCGGACACACACACACAUUUAGAGUAUCAACUAUGUAAUUUCCUGCAUUUUCUGCAUUAAUUUAAAAUGAAAAUAUAUUUAUGUAAACAUACAGCGUAUAGAGCAGACCCGGCUGCAGAAAGAAGUUACAGGGGGGCAUUACAUUUUUUAGGGGGGGCACACUUCGUCAACGUAAAUUUAGUCUGAACAGUGGCGUUAUUACCCGUACAUUACUACAUCAGUGCACUGAAACAUUUUCUGUCACUGAAGUCACAAGUCGUAGUUCAUCGUAAAAUCAUUAAGACAAACGAAAACAUACCUGUCAACCCGAGGCCUUUGGCAAUCUUACAAAUAGUGACGUAUGCCCUUACAAAUAGGUGACUAAUCUUACAACCUUGUAUAUAGCGUGCAAUACGAAACAAACAUAAAACUCAAUUUUUAAAAUAAUAUGAAUUUAUUGGUAAUAUUGUAACAUAUAACCUGGUGCAAUCAAAGAACAAUCAAUAUCUUCAGCUACAUCAUGAUUACUAAAAUUUAACAGUAACUUUUAAUAUAAAUGUAUGUAGCACUUUUGGCAAUUUCUAUAAAUGUCUUGAUGGCUGCACUUCAUGGCACUUCAGCUAGCAAUUCAAUUUGACUUGAAGGUAGUUCGUUACUGUGUCCAAUUAUAA